rnacentral:snRNA from 1 species
UAGUGUGAUAGCUCUUUCAGGAUUUGUCUAGCAGGUUUUAUAGUCCUC